rnacentral:rRNA from 1 species
CCUACGGGGGGCAGCAGUGGGGAAUAUUGCACAAUGGGGGAAACCCUGAUGCAACGACGCCGCGUGAGUGAAGAAGUAUUUCGGUAUGUAAAGCUCUAUCAGCAGGGAAGAAACUGACGGUACCUGAUUAAGAAGCCCCGGCUAACUACGUGCCAGCAGCCGCGGUAAUACGUAGGGGGCAAGCGUGAUCCGAAUUUACUGGGUGUAAGGGGAGCGUAGACGGCAGUACAAGUCUGGAUGGAAAUGCCGGGGCUUAACCCCGGAACUGCUUUGGAAACUGUGCAGCUAGAGUGCAGGAGGGGUAAGUGGAAUUCCUAGUGUAGCGGUGAAAUGCGUAGAUAUUAGGAGGAACACCAGUGGCGAAGGCGGCUUACUGGACUGUAACUGACGUGGAGGCUCGAAAGCGUGGGGAGCAAACAGGAUUAGAUACCCCAGUAGUC